UACGGAAGGCAGCAGUGGGGAAUAUUGCACAAUGGGCGAAAGCCUGAUGCAGCUAUGCCGCGUGUAUGAAGAAGGCCUUAGGGUUGUAAAGUACUUUCAUCGGGGAGGAAAAACAAAACUAAUAAUUUUAUUUCUUGACGUUACCCGAAAAAGAAGCACCGGCUAACUCCGUGCCAGCAGCCGCGGUAAUACGGAGGGUGCUAGCGUUAAUCAGAAUUACUGGGCGUAAAGAGCACGUAGGUGGUUUUUUAAAGUCAGAUGUGAAAUCCCUGGGCUUAACCUAGGAAACUGCAUUUUGAAACUGAAAUAACUAGAGUAUCGUAGAGGGAGGUAGAAUUCUAGGUGUAGCGGUGAAAUGCGUAGAUAUCUGGAGGAAUACCUGUGGCGAAAGCGGCCUCCUAAACGAAUACUGACACUGA
rnacentral:rRNA from 1 species